UACGAAGGGGCUAGCGUUGUUCGGAAUCACUGGGCGUAAAGGGCGCGUAGGCGGCUUUAUAAGUCGGGGUGAAAGCCUGUGGCUCAACCACAGAAUUGCCUUCGAUACUGUAGAGCUUGAGACCGGAAGAGGUAAGUGGAACUGCGAGUGUAGAGGUGAAAUUCGUAGAUAUUCGCAAGAACACCAGUGGCGAAGGCGGCUUACUGGUCCGGUUCUGACGCUGAGGCGCGAAAGCGUGGGGAGCAAACAGG
rnacentral:rRNA from 1 species